GAACUUCCUUUAGGGGGCGAUUGGGCCCGACGUCGCAUGCUCCCGGCCGCCAUGGCGGCCGCGGGAAUUCGAUUUCCGGUUGAUCCUGCCAGAGGCCGCUGCUAUCCGGCUGGGACUAAGCCAUGCGAGUCAAGGGGCUUGUAUCCCUUCGGGGAUGCAAGCACCGGCGGACGGCUCAGUAACACGUGGACAACCUGCCCUCGGGUGGGGGAUAACCCCGGGAAACUGGGGCUAAUCCCCCAUAGGUGAUGGGUGCUGGAAUGCCCCAUCACCGAAAGCGCUCAGCGCCCGAGGAUGGGUCUGCGGCGGAUUAGGUAGUUGGCGGGGUAACGGCCCGCCAAGCCGAAGAUCCGUACGGGCCAUGAGAGUGGGAGCCCGGAGAUGGACCCUGAGACACGGGUCCAGGCCCUACGGGGCGCAGCAGGCGCGAAACCUCCGCAAUGCGGGAAACCGCGACGGGGCUAGCCGGAGUGCCGAUGCCUCGCAUCGGCUGUCGGGGAGCCUAAAAAGCUCCCCACAGCAAGGGCCGGGCAAGGCCGGUGGCAGCCGCCGCGGUAAUACCGGCGGCCCGAGUGGCGGCCACUAUUAUUGGGCCUAAAGCGUCCGUAGCCGGUCUGGCAAGUCCCCCGGGAAAUCUGGCGGCUUAACCGUCAGGCUGCCGGGGGAUACUGCCAGACUGGGGACCGGGAGAGGCCGGGGGUAUUCCCGGGGUAGGGGUGAAAUCCUGUAAUCCCGGGAGGACCACCUGUGGCGAAGGCGCCCGGCUGGAACGGGUCCGACGGUGAGGGACGAAGGCCUGGGGAGCGAACCGGAUUAGAUACCCGGGUAGUCCAGGCUGUAAACGAUGCGGGCUAGGUGUCGCGACAGCCACGAGCUGUCGCGGUGCCGGAGGGAAGCCGUUAAGCCCGCCGCCCUGGGAAGUACGGCCGCAAGGCUGAAACUUAAAGGAAUUGGCGGGGGAGCACUACAACGGGUGGAGCCCUGCGGUUUAAUUGGAUUUCAACGCCCGUGGAAAGCUUACCCGGGGGAGACAGCGGGAUGAAAGUUCGGGCCUGAAGACCCCUACCCAGACUAGCUGAGAGGGUUGGCUGCCAUGAACGCCGGUUCCAGUUCGUACUGUGCAAAGCCAAUUCUCCGGACUUAAC
rnacentral:rRNA from 1 species